rnacentral:rRNA from 1 species
AUUGAACGCUGGCGGCAGGCCUAACACAUGCAAGUCGAACGGUAACAGGAAGCAGCUUGCUGCUUUGCUGACGAGUGGCGGACGGGUGAGUAAUGUCUGGGAAACUGCCCGAUGGAGAGGGAUAACUACUGGAAACGGUAGCUAAUACCGCAUAACGUCGCAAGACCAAAGAGGGGGACCUUAGGGCCUCUUGCCAUCGGAUGUGCCCAGAUGGGAUUAGCUAGUAGGUGGGGUAACGGCUCACCUAGGCGACGAUCCCUAGCUGGUCUGAGAGGAUGACCAGCCACACUGGAACUGAGACACGGUCCAGACUCCUACGGGAGGCAGCAGUGGGGAAUAUUGCACAAUGGGCGCAAGCCUGAUGCAGCCAUGCCGCGUGUAUGAAGAAGGCCUUCGGGUUGUAAAGUACUUUCAGCGGGGAGGAAGGGAGUAAAGUUAAUACCUUUGCUCAUUGACGUUACCCGCAGAAGAAGCACCGGCUAACUCCGUA